UGUAUAAUGGGUCAGCGACUUAUAUUCUGUAGCAAGGUUAACCGAAUAGGGGAGCCGAAGGGAAACCGAGUCUUAACUGGGCGUUAAGUUGCAGGGUAUAGACCCGAAACCCGGUGAUCUAGCCAUGGGCAGGUUGAAGGUUGGGUAACACUAACUGGAGGACCGAACCGACUAAUGUUGAAAAAUUAGCGGAUGACUUGUGGCUGGGGGUGAAAGGCCAAUCAAACCGGGAGAUAGCUGGUUCUCCCCGAAAGCUAUUUAGGUAGCGCCUCGUGAAUUCAUCUCCGGGGGUAGAGCACUGUUUCGGCAAGGGGGUCAUCCCGACUUACCAACCCGAUGCAAACUGCGAAUACCGGAGAAUGUUAUCACGGGAGACACACGGCGGGUGCUAACGUCCGUCGUGAAGAGGGAAACAACCCAGACCGCCAGCUAAGGUCCCAAAGUCAUGGUUAAGUGGGAAACGAUGUGGGAAGGCCCAGACAGCCAGGAUGUUGGCUUAGAAGCAGCCAUCAUUUAAAGAAAGCGUAAUAGCUCACUGGUCGAGUCGGCCUGCGCGGAAGAUGUAACGGGGCUAAACCAUGCACCGAAGCUGCGGCAGCGACGCUUAUGCGUUGUUGGGUAGGGGAGCGUUCUGUAAGCCUGCGAAGGUGUACUGUGAGGUAUGCUGGAGGUAUCAGAAGUGCGAAUGCUGACAUAAGUAACGAUAAAGCGGGUGAAAAGCCCGCUCGCCGGAAGACCAAGGGUUCCUGUCCAACGUUAAUCGGGGCAGGGUGAGUCGACCCCUAAGGCGAGGCCGAAAGGCGUAGUCGAUGGGAAACAGGUUAAUAUUCCUGUACUUGGUGUUACUGCGAAGGGGGGACGGAGAAGGCUAUGUUGGCCGGGCGACGGUUGUCCCGGUUUAAGCGUGUAGGCUGGUUUUCCAGGCAAAUCCGGAAAAUCAAGGCUGAGGCGUGAUGACGAGGCACUACGGUGCUGAAGCAACAAAUGCCCUGCUUCCAGGAA
rnacentral:rRNA from 1 species